rnacentral:lncRNA from 1 species
UAAUAUUUCAAGUCUAGGAAGCACAGUUGCCUUUGGCUUACCAGUUCAUAAUAUAUCAGGACACACUGCUAUUUGCCAAAUGGGCUGGAAAAGAAAGUUAUUAUGCAAAUAUGCGAGAAGUAAUAGUUGUGACUGAUGUUUCUGCAUGUAAAAUGUGUCUAGAAUAAAAAGAAAAUGAAAACCCGCAAGCCUCUCCUGCAUCUGUGAUUAACCUCCUGUCCGUCCUCAGAACUCCUGAGUCUCAGUCAGUCUUGCAGGCUGUCCUGUGAUCCCUACCCACCACUGAUACCAGCCUGAAAGUAAAGUGAAUGUCAAGAAACCAUGCAGCAACUUUUAUAACUUCUCAGAGUCAAAAAGAAAGAAGAAAGAGCGCACAACGUCGCCAAGGUGUUUUCUCCGUGAAGUCAUGGCCGCCUUUCCUCCUGGAUCUCUUCCUGAUCUGCUCGUAUCAUUCUCUUAAGUUCUUGCUUGUGCAGAUAACUGGGCUAAUGAAGGAUUUGCCUUCUCCAUGCAUUCCGAAAUAAAGAACUGUCAUCACACCUAUUUUAUUUUGUAAAGGCCUAAAAGGCCAGAAGUGACUUAGAUCACUUCUAUUGGUGCACAUUUAUUUUUAUUCAGAGAAACUUCCCAACAUGCAACUGGAAUCAUUCUUAAGGAGUAUUUCUAACACUUUUCCUUGCUCCAGAAGAAUCAGAAGAACUAGUUCAAACUGGCUUCUGAAUGUUCAGAUCACUGAACAGCUAUGGAAAAUGAGGAAGACUGCACACUGGAACAGGAACAAACCACUGGGUUAUUUGUAAUGUACAUUGCAUAAGGCAAGUUUCUCCCGAAUGGUUGGUUGUGAUACUGGUCCUCAGAAAAAGUAUGCAUAGUUUAUGCCUUAUAUUUUGUUUUAUGGAGCCAACACUGUGGCAUAGCAGGUAAAGCUACCGCCUCAGUGCCAACAUUUCAUAUGAGUGCCAGAUCAAGUCUCAGCUGUUCCACUUCUGAUACAGCUCCCUGCUAAUGUGUCUAGGAAAGCACGGAAGAUGGCCCAAGUGCUUGGCCCCUGCACCACCAGGAAGAAGCUCCUGACUCUGCAUCCUGUCUUCAGGUCAGCCCAGCUCUGACCUUUAUGGCCAUUUGGGGAGUGAAUCAGUGGAUGGAUGAUCUUUCUCUUUCUCUUUCUGUGUGUGUGUGUGUGUGUAAUUCUUCCUUUAAAAUAAAUAAAUCUUUUCAAAAUUAAAAACA